ACGGAGGGGGCUAGCGUUGUUCGGAAUUACUGGGCGUAAAGCGCACGUAGGCGGCUUUGUAAGUUAGAGGUGAAAGCCCGGGGCUCAACUCUGGAAUUGCCUUUAAGACUGCAUCGCUAGAAUUGUGGAGAGGUAAGUGGAAUUCCGAGUGUAGAGGUGAAAUUCGUAGAUAUUCGGAAGAACACCAGUGGCGAAGGCAGGUCUCUGGGCCACUACUGACGCUGAGAAGCGAAAGCAUGGGGAGCGAACAGGA
rnacentral:rRNA from 1 species